CAGGUGUUCUCUAACUUGGAGGAGCUGGCAGUAACUGUGCCCCAGCGGUGAUCACACUAACCAGCUCGUGCCUGGUAUCAAGGUCCUGAAAGCCAAGGAAACUAGUGCAUACUGCAGGACCCUAGAGAGAAGACAACUGAUGCAAGCCAUUGUUGGGGCAGCUGGCAGAAUGUUCAAGAAUAACUUACCUGAAGUGUGUCUACAAUACUUCAGUUGCUGAUGGAUGGAUAAAGCCUUCCCAAAAAGCAGAGCCCAGCUAACGUGAUGUGGACAGACGGUCUGGCUGGCUGCACUGACAGCUGGAUCCAGUGGACGGCAGCUCACGCUGCCCCCCGACUCGGUGUCCUUUGGCCGCUGGUGUCCAGAGCUACCAACCCAAAAUCACAGUGGUCACAGAGCAACCCUUAUCCAAAAGUAAAGUCUUUGUGCUUGACACACUACAGCCCUA